UUCUUAAAGAAAUAAUUUUAAGUAAAAUCUGCUCAAUGUAAAUAAAUAGCCGCAAAUAAUGUGCUAAGGUAGCAUAAUCACUCGCCUUUUAAUUUUAGGAUAGAAUGAAUGAUUUAACAUUUCUUUAUCUUUAUUUAAUAUAUAAUUUUAAUUUUUAUUAAAUAUAAAAAUAUAUUUAUAUUUUAAAAAGACGAUAAGACCCUAUUGAACUUCACUUUAGUUUAGUUGGGGAAACUAAUUAAUAAUAAUUUUAAUUUUUUUAUUAAAAUAAAUAACCAAAAAAUUGAAAUAAUCAAGUUACCAUAGGGAUAACAGCGCAAUUAUUUUUAAAAGCUCUUAUUUAAAAAAUAAAUUACGACCUCGAUGUUGAAUAUAAUACCUUACAAUAGAAAAAUAUUGAAAAGUAAGUCUGUUCGACUUUUAAAAUUAUACA
rnacentral:rRNA from 1 species